rnacentral:lncRNA from 1 species
AAUUCGAUUCUAAGGGCUAAGGCCCCCCUUUUCUUUUCCUCCUGGCCGUGUGUGGGCCACACUUCAGAAAGGCCAAAAAGGGGGUCUCCUAUUUCUCGUCCCAUAGAGAAUCUCCGCAUUGCCGAUCGCCCGAACCAGCCUAAGAUAGGGCUGGCUCUGACGAGUGCCAUCUCUUUCGAUCUGGCUCAAAUACCUAUUUAAGGUAUUUUCAGAAAGCGCAGCCUCCCUAGUAGGGUGGUUAAAGACUAGGCCGCGGAUUUCUGACCUCCAAUCCAGAACGAUAUGGGGGGGAAACCCAUCCCGCACCAAUGCAGCUUCUAUCUU